GUUUCUGUGGAAAGGGAAAUAUGGCCGCAACAAACAAAAAUGAUAGGACAUGGCUCUGACAGGUGACAAUCCAGAAGAAUAGCUCUUGAGUACCCUAUCUGAUUCUUGGGAAACUAGAGGAUGUCAUCGUCGCCCUAGCCCCCUGCGUCACCACCCCUCUGGUUGCAAUACAGAAGCUUUUUGGGAAGUGAUACUAACAAGAAUCAGAUUUUCCUGGACCCGUAACAGAGGAAACAACUUCUGGCACAGUAAUUCUUUGAACUGGAAC